rnacentral:rRNA from 1 species
CCUACGGGAGACAGCAGUGAGGAAUAUUGGUCAAUGGACGCAAGUCUGAACCAGCCAUGCCGCGUGCAGGAUGACGGCCCUAUGAGUUGUAAACUGCUUUUGUACGAGGGUAAACGCAGAUACGCGUAUCUGUCUGAAUGUAUCGUACGAAUAAGGAUCGGCUAACUCCGUGCCAGCAGCCGCGGUAAUACGGAGGAUUCAAGCGUUAUCCGGAUUUAUUGGGUUUAAAGGGUGCGUAGGCGGUCGGAUAAGUUAGAGGUGAAAUCCCGAGGCUCAACUUCGGAAUUGCCUCUGAUACUGGCCGGCUAGAGAGUAGGUGCGGUAGGCGGAAUGUAUGGUGUAGCGGUGAAAUGCUUAGAGAUCAUACAGAACACCGAUUGCGAAGGCAGCUUACCAAGCUACUUCUGACGUUGAGGCACGAAAGCGUGGGGAGCAAACAGGAUUAGAUACCCGGGUAGUC